UCUACAAGCUCGGCCAUACAAC
rnacentral:siRNA from 1 species